CAGGCCUAACACAUGCAAGUCGAACGGUAACAGGAAGCAGCUUGCUGCUUCGCUGACGAGUGGCGGACGGGUGAGUAAUGUCUGGGAAACUGCCCGAUGGAGGGGGAUAACUACUGGAAACGGUAGCUAAUACCGCAUAAUGUCGCAAGACCAAAGAGGGGGACCUUCGGGCCUCUUGCCAUCGGAUGUGCCCAGAUGGGAUUAGCUUGUUGGUGAGGUAGCGGCUCACCAAGGCGACGAUCCCUAGCUGGUCUGAGAGGAUGACCAGCCACACUGGAACUGAGACACGGUCCAGACUCCUACGGGAGGCAGCAGUGGGGAAUAUUGCACAAUGGGCGCAAGCCUGAUGCAGCCAUGCCGCGUGUAUGAAGAAGGCCUUCGGGUUGUAAAGUACUUUCAGCGGGGAGGAAGGUGUUGUGGUUAAUAACCGCAACAAUUGACGUUACCCGCAGAAGAAGCACCGGCUAACUCCGUGCCAGCAGCCGCGGUAAU
rnacentral:rRNA from 1 species